rnacentral:rRNA from 1 species
GACGGAGGAUGCAAGUGUUAUCCGGAAUCACUGGGCGUAAAGCGUCUGUAGGUGGCUUUUAAGUCCGCCGUCAAAUCCCAGGGCUCAACCCUGGACAGGCGGUGGAAACUACCAAGCUGGAGUACCGGUAGGGGCAGAGGGAAUUUCCGGUGGAGCGGUGAAAGUGCGUAGAGGAUCGGAAAGAACACCAACGCGAAAGCACUCUGCUGGGCCGACACUGACACUGAGAGACGAAAGCUAGGGGAGCGAAUGGG